rnacentral:rRNA from 1 species
UACGUAGGGUGCUAGAGUUGUCCGGAUUUACUGGGUGUAAAGGGUGCUCAGGUGGAUUUGUAAGUCAGAGGUGAAAUCCCAAAGCUUAACUUUGGUGCUGCCUUUGAUACUGCAAGUCUAGAGUUUGAGAGAGGGCAAUGGAAUAUCUGGUGUAGCAGUGAAAUGCGUAGAUAUCAGAUAGAACACCAAUGGCGAAGGCAGUUGCCUGGAUCAAAACUGACGCUAAGGCACGAAAGCGUGGGGAGCAAACAGG